UCAAUAACUUGGUACGUAUUUAAGACACAAUACUAAGUACAGACAAAUGGAAAACAGCUACCUUUGUGCUCUGUGGAACACCGUACACUUCAUGUUAUUAACUAAUUACAUGUGAUGUAUUUACCACUAAGUGAGCUUCUUGGUGACAGAAGUCAUGCUUAUUCAUCUUUGAAGUAUUUCUAAUAUAUAGCACAGUGCCUGAAACAAAGGUGCCGAAUAAACUGAAAAGAUUACUAAGAACAGAAAGAAUAGAUACCCAGAAUUGGGUGUCCUCUUUGUUUCGGGGUACAUGAUAGUUCUACAGAUCUUACUGGAUGAAACAAAAAUCUUUCACUGUUCAGAUCACACCUCCAAUAUGACCCUAUGUGAAUUCAAAUUUAAGUAUCUUAGUGACAUGUAGAACAUAUGAGUGAAUUAGAGCAUUGCCAUUUGGAUAUGACAUGAAAACAAUUGCUGAUAAUCACUCCCGCUGAGGGACAUCUUAUAUAAAUAGACUCCUGACCACGUGAAAGUAGAAGUAGGAAACAAGUAGGUGGAGGGCAGUGGUAUCCCUUAACUGUCAAGUCCUAACAUGCCUCAUGGCUAGGAACCCAUUAAUUGAUCAAACAGCUCACUGAUCGGAGAGGAAUCCAAAUAUUCUAGAAAAGAUGAUAAAGUGAUAGUAUAAGAAAUUAAGUGGAAGAAUUAAAGAUCUAAGAAGGAAUGAAAAAAGCAUGAGUGGAAUAGAUGCCAAGGAGUUCGCAGGUCUUCAGAAAUGCAAGUUGUUCUUCCUUCAUUGCAACUUUUGGCCUCGAUUCUCCCAGUAAGAGUCGAUAAAAAUGAUCAAGGGAAUCGAGGUUACCGUCGGAAACUUUUAUAGCUUCCUGUGAUGAAUGUCUAUUAUUUCUCUCUGCCAAAUCUCCCGUCUCCCCUCUUUAUUAAAGGGAACUUCACAUAUGGUUGGGGUUGGGGAUCGUUCCUUUUAGCCCCAUGGUGUAUGAUGUAUUGCCCAGGCCUAGCCAAUCACAGACUAGACCUGCAGGGCCAGAGAUUUAUGGGGGCUGAACACAUAUUUGGAGCCAGGCUGGUGAGAAUCCUCCCUAAGACUUUUGAUAUAACAUUGAAAAAGAAGCUCUGUCUUCUGUAACCAGCGGCACAAGGACCAUGUAAACCAGAGCCCCCAGUAGCCAUCUGCACUGCGAACUGGAAGGAGCGUGUCCGAGGAUAAGGACCAAGAAGAGCUAAGCCAGAGAACUGUGAAGACAUCUUUCAAGCACCUGGAUCCAGACGGGUGGAGACUGAGCACAGGAGUCUGGAGUCCAGGAUGGAGGUUCAAGCUAGAGAAUAAUCCUGGCAUUAGGAUACAUGGAAACUCACUGGGAUGCCUGGGAGAAGGAAGGAAUAUAGUUCAUGGAAAAAGGCAUUGUAUCAUCUCAUAUCAUCACAAGAAGAAGAAAGGUGCUACAGCACCAUAAGAUAUUUUGAGAGAGAGAGAGGGAGAGAGAGAGGGACCACAUUCACACAACUUUAAAGUCAGUACAGUAAGUAUAUUGUUAUAAUUGUUCUAUUUUGUUAUUAGUUGUUGUUAGUCUCUUAAUGUGCCUAGCGAUAAAUUAAACUGUAUCACAGGUAUGUCUGUAUAGGACACAAUCAUAGUAUACAUAGGGUCCCUAUUAUCCACAGUUUCAGGCAUUUACUGGGGGUCUUGGAAUGUAUCUCCCAUGGAUAAGAGGGGACUACUGUGACAGAGAACCACUGACUCUUUUGGAGUCUAAGUCCCAUAACAGGCUGUCCAGGGAAAAUUCAUCUGGUGGUUAUGUGUGGAAUUAACAACUUUGGCUACGGCAGGAGGUGGGGAGAUAAGUUAAAAAGCCGACACCUGGUAUAGCAUAAUAAAUUAGAAUAGAAAGAAAUGUUUAAAAGAAAUUUUUAUGAUGAAUCAGAUGUAGGAGCAGAGGGAGAGGAAAUGUCAGAAACUCAGGUUAAAUAAACAACAACUGUAUCUAAUAGCUUUAAAAUGUUUAGCGUUUCAGAGGCACAAGGACACAACCUCCUGAAAAUUAAAUUUUGGGUGAUGUACUAGUAUAAGUAUUUAGGGAAGAGGGCUUCACUCAGAAAAAUGCAAAAGGUUCUAUAAAGGUGAAGAAUUGUAUGAUCCCAGAGCCUACCUAGCUCCUUGGUUUUCUGCUCAUGAACUCUAUGGUGUCAACCAGGUUCCUGAGAGGCCCAAAGACUCACCCUAGUGGGUACUCGCCCUCACUGUCCAUGUUUUAAUCUAUCUACAUUUUACACUGUGUUCACAUAAAAUUCCACACUAUUAGGCAGCCUUUCCAAAAGAAACUGGCAACUGUGGCCUCUGCUGAUAUCCUCUUAUAACGCAAAAGUUCAGGGUCACUCACUAGUCAGGAACAAGCAAGCCCAGUCAUUAACAUGUAUGUAGUUGUUCUCCUGUGCAAUUUUCUGAGCUCUGUUCAAACCUGGGCUUUCCUUCCACUCCAGGCAAUGUUUGCCACAGCGAUAGACAUGCAUCUUCAACCAAUUAUUGUUACAGU